CACAAGUAUACAGAGUCUCUAUACUGAAUCUCCCUCACACCUCUGAUCCCUAAUCUACCAUUUCCCUCCUCAGGGGCAAUUGCUGUCACUGAUUUGUAUUCUUCCAGUCAUUUUAUGCAUGCAGAAAUAUAUCAAUGUGGGUGUGUUUAUGUGUAUAGAUAUGUCUUUGUAUACAUACGUAUGUCUCACACCAGCAGUAGCUCACUAAUCACACUGUUCUUCAUCUUCUUAAAAUUUGAUGUAUAUUAAAGCAGCUAUUAUUAUCCUUAUUUUAUAGUUGAGGAAAGCAAUGCUCAAAAAGGAAAUUGACUUGCUUAAGAUGGCUCAGCUAGUAAGAUGGUGAGAUUUGGAUUCAAAACCAGUCUACGUGAUUACAAAUCUAAUGCCCUCUCUACACUUCAAGGAAUAUCCCUAGAGGGUUGUUCUGGUUACUUUCCUGUACAACAAAUUACUCAAAAUUUAGAGUUCCGGAGACUGGAAGUCCCAGAUCAAGCUGCUGGCAGAUUUGAGGCCCUCCAGGACCAGCUGAACCGACCCCAUCUUAUCAACAGAGUAAUUAAGAGUGGUUUUUCAGGAACUGAGACCCUUUGUCCAGUUCAGGCCGGCUGAGACCACCAACCCAUCAACUGGGCCUGUGCAAAUGCUCGAUAAGUGACCUUUUUGAUGUCAAGGAGCUAACAACUCCACCCUCAGAUCAUGGUAACGCCGCCAUUUUGUGAGCAUGCAUCUUAUGAAGAGCCAUGAAGCUUGACUAUGCUCGCGCAGAUCAUCAAUGACCUCACUUCUCCUUUCCUCCAAUCAUCCAUCUCCAUGCUUCAAACUGCCCUGCCCAACAUCCCAUAAACUGUGCCCCAAGCCCUGGAUCGGGGAGACAGAUCCGAGAGCACAGGCCCUUGUCUCCUUGCAGAUGGAUCUCGCAAAAUAAAGCUGAUUUCUCUUCCCAAAAGCUGAUGCCA
rnacentral:lncRNA from 1 species